AUACGGAGGGUGCAAGCGUUAUUCGGAAUCACUGGGCGUAAAGGACGCGUAGGCGGGUUGUCAAGUCAGAUGUGAAAUCCUACAGCUUAACUGUAGAACUGCAUUUGAAACUGCUAACCUAGAGUAUGGGAGGGGGAGAUGGAAUUAGUGGUGUAGGGGUAAAAUCCGUAGAUAUCACUAGGAAUACCGAAAGCGAAGGCGAUCUCCUGGAACAUAACUGACGCUAAGGCGUGAAAGCGUGGGGAGCAAACAGGAUUAGAAACCCUAGUAGUCC
rnacentral:rRNA from 1 species